rnacentral:rRNA from 1 species
UUGUCGUCAGCUCGUGUCGUGAGAUCGUUGGGUUAAGUCCCGCAACGAGCGCAACCCUUUAUCCCCAGUUGCCAUCAGGUAAAGCUGGGAACUCUGGGGAGACUGCCGGUGAUAAACCGGAGGAAGGCGGGGAUGACGUCAAGUCCUCAUGGCCCUUAUGGGUAGGGCUUCACACGUCAUACAAUGGUCGGUACAGAGGGUUGCCAAGCCGCGAGGUGGAGCUAAUCCCUUAAAGCCGAUCGUAGUCCGGAUCGUAGUCUGCAACUCGACUACGUGAAGUCGGAAUCGCUAGUAAUCGCAGAUCAGCAUGCUGCGGUGAAUACGUUCCCGGGUCUU